UCGGAGUGUCUUAAUUCAUUGGGAACACACUCUCGGGAUCUUGUUGGACUUGAUUUCUGCUUUAAAAUCUCUUUAAAGCAGCCUCUGUACUUCGUUUUCACUUUGCAGGAAAAAAAAGUUUUAGCGUGCAAAGAUACACAUUUUUUUCGCACCCCAAUUCUGACGUUGUGGGAGAAGGUUGAUUAUUUUUUCCAGGUUUAGUUUACACUGUUUCUCCUGUCUUCAGAUUGUGACAGCCACGUGGCCGGCUGAGUAUAAUUGAGUGCCCUAGCGCCUCUAGAGCCCAGGCGUCACUGGUAGCCAGGGGCUUUGUAACUGUGCAGUAUCUGCAUCCACAUUUAAUGUGGUGUUUUCUGAGAUGGGGAAGUGGGAAAGACCGAACUGUUUAUGUCUUUUCCAACCGAAUCUGUUGCCUUGCAGUCUUUGUAAGGGGUAUAUUGACAUUUUUGCCUCCUUCUGCUAUUUUGAUGAUUCAUCUUUAAAUUCUCAGCAGUAUUAUGUACCAUUAAGGAGUGAUGGGUAAAUAGAAGAGUACAUUAUGGAAUUUAUCAACUAACUCUGGGAAAAAAAGUGUGAAUUUCAGAGCUGUUAAUGAGAGGCUUAAUGUAAUCAGAAAUAAUCACCUUCUUGAGGAUUUCUUUUUAAAUAGUUGAUUUAUGCAUGUUCACUUAAGCUUUUUUGAGGCAGAGUAUUGACAGUUAAUAUGUUAACAUGAACAGAUUUUAAGAGAAUGAAGUUUAAUUUUUAGGAUACAUAAGCGUAAAAUGUCAAGGGUUGAAGAUAAAAAAGUUAAUAAAAAGUAAAAUAAAUAAAAUAACUUUAAAUUUAAAAAGAUUAAUACAAAUUAAAAGGGUUGAGGAUAAACUUGGAGAGUUUGGAAAUUUUUAGAAUUUAAGUACAUAACAAUCCUUGGUUACUAGUGCAUCAUACUUCAUUUUGUAAUGCUUUGGUGAAUUAGAAUUAUUUCUGGAGUUUCCAGGUGGCUUCGCGGGUUAAGGAUCUGACGUUGUCCCUGCCUUGCUGUAGGUUCCAUCCUUAGCCCAGGAACUUCCGUGUGCCACAGACAUGACCUGUAAUAAUAAUAAUUUGAAAUAUUUCUGUAACGUUUGUUUGUAUUUGAAUCAGUUUUACUUGAAAAGUGCUAAAACCACAGGAAACAUUUAGAAUAUUUAAAAGAAUUGUUAGAAGAAGUUAAAGCAGCACUUUUAUCAUAAUUUUAAUUACACCAUAACAAGGGUUCUCAAUGAUGUUAAUAGCUAAAAAGAUGGGAGGGGCUUCAGUGCAGGAAAGAUAAUACAUUUGAGAAAUUAGUAUGUGUGCUGACCAAUGAGUGCAGUGCUUAGUGGAGGAAAAAAAAAAGCUAAAUGAGGUGAAGAAAUACUUUUAAAGCAGGAAGCACUGAAAACAUGCUGGGAGAUAACAACGUUAUUAGUUAUGGGAUCAACCAUCAAAUGAAACUUUUACAAGUGCCAUCCAAAUGGGGGGUUAAUCUUGUUCUUAUGGCAGUUUGUGUGUGUGUGUUGCUGUUAGACUGUGUCAUUUCAGUUACUGGGUUUUGUAUAAAUGCAUAAGCUCCUCCAAAAUAAAGUUUUGAGGAUCCAAUGCUUUGCUGAUUGAUUUAGAGAAGAAAAAGAGGUCUAAGAUUUGAUCUCUCUUCUGCGGUUGAAGUGUCAUGAUUAGUAUACAUAAAAGUUUAUAGGAGUUCCCAUUGUGGUACAAGGGAAACAAUCCAACUAGUAUCCAUGGGGAUGUGGGUUUGAUCCCUGGCCUCGCUCAGUGGGUUGGGCAUCUGGUGUUGCUGCUAUGAGCUGUGGUGUAGGUGGCAGAUGUGGCUCAGAUCCUGCGUUGCUGUAGCUGUGGUGUAGGCCAGCAGCUGUAGCUCUGAUUCGACCCCUAGCCUGGGAACUUUGAUAUGCUACAUGCACAGGCCUAAAAAGCAAAAAAAAAAAGUUUAUGUAAUUAAGAAAGGAAACUAGAGGGUUUGAGUAGAUAGGAGAGGCUUUUGAAGAAAGUAAGGUUCUUGCUUUCAAAAGUCUAAGCUCCCAUUAGAUUAAUCCUCCUAAAGGUUAUAUCACUAAUGACCAAGCAUGAAUACCAAAUUUCUUCCCAAAACUUUUCAAACUUUGGUCCCAGAACUUUGGUAAGUGUUCAUUAUUACCACUUCUAAGUGGUAGAACAAUUUUCCUUCUUUUUACCUUUGCUGAUACAACAUUUUUCUGUUGGAAAUGCACCUGCACACAUCCUCUUAACUAUUGAAGAUCUACUCACACUUGAGAUUUGGUUAAAAUCUUGCCCUAAGAGUCUUAGAAUCAUAAAAUUUUAGACCUUCUUUCACAUCUCCAACUGAAAAUUAUUUUCUUUCUCUAAUAGCAUAUUAUUCUUUUGGGCUGUAGCAUUCUAUACUGCCUUGUUUUUAUGCAAUAAAUAUUUUCGAGCACUUACCCUUCACCAGGCACUUUUCUAGGAACUGAAGCUACAGGCUUAAUUAAGACAAAUUCCUGUAUUCUUUAUCAUCUUUUUAGGUUUUAUCAAGAAAUUCAAAUUCAGGUUUCAAGAAAUUUGUAGUCUUUGACCAUCCAGGGGAGUCUUAUUUUUUUCAGAUAUGUAUUAUAUGCUUAGUAUUUGAUUAUUUUCUGAGUACAGCAAAGGCAGCACUUAGAAUAUGAGUGAAGAGAUGUAUGCAAAGCUCUCUAUAAGUGAAUGAUUCAAAAGAAUAACCAAUUAUGGAUGGCCUUAAACACAUCAUUUCUGAAUUCAGAAUAGGGUUUGGUACCCCCUCCCUCUCCAAAAAAAGGGAAGGAAUUUGAACCUGGUAAUGAUAAGAUAAAAUCCUUAUUUGAGGAAGUUUCACGUGACAGCGGUGUGCAAGACUAAUUAUUGACUAUGGGAAGGAGAAAGAUGUAUUGAAAGAUAAAUUAAUAACUUUGAUAAGGAGGUUUGGAAGAGGAGUAUAAUCAAAAUAGUGAGUUAGGUUAGAGUAUAAACUGAGUGGGAGAUAUCAAAGUGAAUAUAACCUUCAACGACUAGAGAUUAGAGGUGUGGGAUUUACAGUUAAUGUAGAGUUGACAGCUUAAGUCAAUAAUUGAAGUGUUGAUGUUUGGGAAACAAGUUUAAGGGACAUCUGCUUUGGUCAUAUGUGACUUCAUGAUUAAUACUAUAGAUUUAUUCAGUAACUUUAGUUCCACUAUAUGAGAAUGCUGCCAAAUAGAAUCCGAAAGAAUGUUUAUCAUCAUUCACUUUCAGGGGAUUUUUUUUUUUUUCUUUUUAGGGCCACACCUGUGGCAUGCUAGGGGUUGUUUCAGAGCUGCAGCUGCUGGCCUAUGCCACAGCCACAGCCAUGCCAGAUCCAAGCUGCAUCUGCGAUCUACACUUCAGUUUAUGGCAAUGCCAGAUUCUUAAGCCGCUGAGCGAGGCCAGGGAUCUAACCCGCGUCCUCAUGAAUACUAGGUGGAUUCUUAAUCCACAGAACCACAAUAGAAACUCCCAUUCACUUCCAAGGGAUUUUGAUUUAUGUAUUUAUUUCCAUUACCCUAACUUUUUUUUUAUUUAAAUAAGCUUUUAAUUUUAGAAUAAUUUUACAAAAGAGUAGCAAGGUAGUAGAGUAAAUCUCACUUGGUUUUUCUUACUGUUAACUUCUUACAUUAUGGUACAUUUGUCACAACUGAAGAAACUUCAAUAGUAAAGUAAAAAAAUGUGGUACAUUGCUACAUUACUAUUAACUAAAUUGCACACUUUAUUCAGAUUUCAUUAAUUUUCCCCUAGAGUCCUUUUUCUCCUCCAGAAUUAUAGUUUCAGACUUUUCUUGUUUUUGAUGACUGUGACUGUUUUGAGGACUACUAGAAAUUUUGUAGAAUAGCCCUCAAUUGAGAUUUAUCUGAUGUUUUCCUCAUGAUUAAACUGGGUUAUGGGUUUUAGGGAGGAAGACAACAGGUGAAGUGCCAUUCUUAUCACAGCAUCAAGGGUAUAUACCAAAAAACAUAAAAAUUGAUGAUGUUAACAUUGAUCACCUAUUUGACGUCUUUGUGAGGUUUCAGUCUCCACCUGUUCAUACUCUACUCUUUGGAAGCAAGUCGCCAAGCAUAGCCCAUGCUCAAGGCCUUGACCUAAUUUUGAUUCAUGUAUUUUUUAUUUCUCUUAGCCUGAUUUCCUUGUGCAUAAAUCAACAUUUAAGCUUGGACAGAUAUUUAUUGAGUAUCUACUGUUUUUAAGUGCUAAGAAUUUAGUAAGGAGCAGGAGACAUCAUUCCUACUCUUUUGGAGGAGUCUGCCUAAUGUAAUCAUAAAAUAGAAUGUAUCCCCUUACCUGCAUAGGUCUUCUUUCAUUGACAGUUAUAAGCAUAGCAUUACUGUAAGCUAAAAGGCAUAAAGCUAUUAAGUAGCCAUUUAGAAAAUAUGCUGUCAUCAUAAAGGUUAAAUGUAUAUAUCAUAAAAAUAACUAUCUUUCUGCUACCAACAUGUAUAAAGUUACUUUGGUUCUCUCCAAGUAGGUGUAUUACUGUUGAAUUACCAGAAUAGUUUAGUUAUCAUUAAUUAUCUUCAUAUCUUAUAAAGUUUGCAGGUUGUAUAAGAAAAUUCUUGGCUUCUUUAUUGUAUUUUUCUAGGUAUUUGGUGCUUUUGCUACUUAGAGGUUUUCGAAGAAGUUGUUGGAAAGACUUGUUGAAUGAGAAUUUGAGUUAAUUUUUCUACUUAACUGGGUUAACUAAAAGUACUCUUACUUUGAAUUCUGAUUGGAAUUCUUACUGAAAUAUUAAUGCAUUUUCACAUUUUUUAGUGUUCAGUCCACUGAGCCUAAUUUAAUAUUUAAAUUAGAAUUUUGACACAGUAUAGUUAUUUUGAGGCAUAUGUAUAACCCUGAAGGUAGAGAAUUGAGGAAAUUGAUAGACGUACAUUCUCGUGGUUUAU
ensembl:lncRNA